rnacentral:lncRNA from 1 species
GGAGGGAAAUGAUCAACUGGAGGAUCAUACUUUGUAGGGCCAAACGAACCAGGCCAGGUGAUGGUAGAAAUGGCAGAAGUGGUACCCUGCCCCUUUCUUCCCACGCCCUCUACCCCUUGGUGCAACCAUAGAUUGUAAUGGGGAAGCGAAUGGAGGGCUGGUUGUGGUUGAGAAGAAGCGAGAAGGUACCUCCUCUUUGCAGAGGAAGGUGAUGUUUGGGAGACAGGGGCUAAACUUUAGCCCUGUCACAUCGGAUGUUCAGAUGCUAAUUAGGAGGACUAAACGUCAGCUAAUUACAAAACUAAUAGCAGAACCCCUAGGCUAAAU